rnacentral:rRNA from 1 species
CCCUGCCACCUUGAAUAGAUCUGAUCUAAUCUGAUUUUAGAAACUAAGCAGGGUUUGUUCUGGUUACUACCUGGAUGGGAGACCACUAGGGAAUACUGUGCUGGGGC